GCCACCCCCUGCUCCACGGCGCCCAGUCCCAUCGACCACCCAAGGGCUGAGGAGUGCGGGCACACGGCACCGGGACUGGCAGGCACGUCCGCCUGCAGCCCCGUGCGGGAUCCACUGGGUGAAGCCUGCUGGGCUCCUGAGUCUGGUGGGGACGUGGAGAACCUUUAUGUUAACCUUUAUGUUAACAUGAACCUUUAUGACACUGACCUUGCCAACUGUGUGGGACCUGGUUGAGGCCUCUUGCCACCAGCUAUCUCCAACUUUCCUGGCCAACUAUAUAAUACAGUAGAGGCAACGAAAAUCCCCUCUAGAACAUAACCUCAUUGUCCUGAGAACCACCACCAUCCACCACAAUGGCUGCAGCAAGCCCCGCCCAAGAUAUUUUCUAAAGAUGGAAAGACACAUUCUGCCAUAUAGCUACUAUUUGCUUCCACAUCUGUUAUCUGCUCGUCUCCCCUCAACUCCGUAUCUCAAGAGACUGACCUGCUUGGAUUGCGUCAAGGGCUCUGGCUUAGGACAGACCUCAGCUAACUAUGGGACUUGGCAGGAGAUCCAGCAGCAGGAGGAAAGUGAGGUCAAUCUUGAGUGGAGAAUUCCAUCAACCAGACAAGCAAACUGCUAGAACCAUUACCAGCAUGGCCACUCUAUCCAGAAUCUAUGCUCAUGAUCCAAUAAAUGUAUUCUGAUUCAUCUUA
rnacentral:lncRNA from 1 species